UUCAGCUGUGCUCUGCUACAAGUAUACAUUACUUCUUUCCCUGAAUUACAGCUACUUAGGUCUUUUUACAUCUUCUAAUAUUUAAGCUCCUUUGGGACAAUGGUCAUGACAAAGUUGACUUUCUUACAUGCAAAGUGCUCAAUGAAAAUCAAACCAAGACAAAGCAACCUUAUCCAAAUUGGAUUUGUUGUCAUAUCGACAGACUUCUCAUUAUAGUCAUUUCUGACAUCAUUGUUGUUAUUUGAAACUCUGAUGGUCCCUGUCUUGUUUAAAUCCUUUUUUUUUUUCCUCUUUUUUAAUGUGGGCAAGAAAUUCCAAACUUCUUUAGUUACCUCACUUUCUAUCUAAACUCUUAUAGAAAAAAUAUAACUUUGCCCUUUGUCACACUUAUUUUCUAAAUACAUUUAGUCAGCUCUUUCAAACUUAUUCCAAACACAAGGAGAGAAAGAGUGCAGGCCAUGUACGAAGGGCAAUGGGCCAAAUAUAUCACUGAAUGGUUAAGGUAAGAGCAAGAGGGAUGAGGAUAGGAUCAAAGCAAAGGAUGUAUAUGGAAGGCAAGUCCCCCAGAGAGUGGUUCUGAGAUAUCCCUGCCUAGAUGUUGGUUCCUUUA
rnacentral:lncRNA from 1 species